GUGUCAGCCGCCGCGGUAAUACGGAGGGGGUUAGCGUUGUUCGGAAUUACUGGGCGUAAAGCGCACGUAGGCGGAUCAGAAAGUUGGGGGUGAAAUCCCGGGGCUCAACCCCGGAACUGCCUCCAAAACUUCUGGUCUGGAGUUCGAGAGAGGUGAGUGGAAUUCCGAGUGUAGAGGUGAAAUUCGUAGAUAUUCGGAGGAACACCAGUGGCGAAGGCGGCUCACUGGCUCGAUACUGACGCUGAGGUGCGAAAGUGUGGGGAGCAAACAGGAUUAGAUACCCUGGUAGUCCACACCGUAAACGAUGAAUGCCAGUCGUCGGCAAGCAUGCUUGUCGGUGACACACCUAACGGAUUAAGCAUUCCGCCUGGGGAGUACGGCCGCAAGGUUAAAACUCAAAUGAAUUGACGGGG
rnacentral:rRNA from 1 species